rnacentral:rRNA from 1 species
CGAAAGCCUGAAACAGCGACCCCGAGUGUGCGAUGAAGGCCUUUGGGUCGUAAAGCACUGUCAACAGGGAGGAAAACCUGGGGGGUAAUAUAUCCCAGGCUUGACGGUACCUGUGGAGGAAGCNCCGGCUAACUCUGUGCCAGCACCCGCGGUAAUACAGAGGGUGCAAACGUUGUUCGGAAUUACUGGGCGUAAAGCGCGUGUAGGCGGCCUGUUAAGUCGACUGUGAAAGCCCAUGGCUCAACCAUGGAAGUGCAGUCGAUACUGGCAGGCUCGAGUCCCGGAGAGGGUGGUGGAAUUCCCAGUGUAGAGGUGAAAUUCGUAGAUAUUGGGAGGAACACCGGUGGCGAAGGCGACCCCCUGGACGGGUACUGACGCUGAGACGCGAAAGCGUGGGGAGCAAACAGGAUUAGAUACCCUGGUAGUCCACGCCGUAAACGAUGAGCGGUAGUUGUUGCGGGUAUUGACCCCUUCAGUGACGCCGCUAACGCAUU